UGGUAGAUAUACCCUGGUAACUUGGCUUCCCUAGUUAGCUAUCAAGCACUAGGGUUUUUUCUU
rnacentral:sRNA from 1 species